UACGUAGGGGGCAAGCGUUGUCCGGAAUCAUUGGGCGUAAAGCGCGUGUAGGCGGCCCGGUAAGUCCGCUGUGAAAGUCGGGGGGCUCAACCCUCGGAUGCCGGUGGAUACUGUCGGGCUAGAGUGCGGGAGAGGCGAGUGGAAUUCCUGGUGUAGCGGUGAAAUGCGCAGAUAUCAGGAGGAACACCAAUUGCGAAGGCAGCUCGCUGGAACGUUACUGACGCUGAGGAGCGAAAGCGUGGGGAGCGAACAGG
rnacentral:rRNA from 1 species